UACGUAGGGUGCAAGCGUUGUCCGGAAUUAUUGGGCGUAAAGAGCUCGUAGGCGGUCUGUCGCGUCUGCUGUGAAAACUCGGGGCUUAACCCCGGGCCUGCAGUGGGUACGGGCAGACUAGAGUGCGGUAGGGGAGACUGGAAUUCCUGGUGUAGCGGUGGAAUGCGCAGAUAUCAGGAGGAACACCGGUGGCGAAGGCGGGUCUCUGGGCCGUAACUGACGCUGAGGAGCGAAAGCGUGGGGAGCAAACAGG
rnacentral:rRNA from 1 species